CCUAUAUAAAACUAAAAGAGGUUUUAAAUAUAACAGGUUAUUAUUAAAACAAAACAAAAUUAAGUUUAAAAAUCAAGAUUUAAUAUUAAAGUCAUUAUUUAAUAUGUUUAUAAAUUGUUUAAAUGUUUAUGUAAAUGCUGCGUGACUUUAAAGUGUCCAUUACCGAGCCCCAUUCAAGCACUGCAGCAGAGAGCGUUGUUAUGGAAACGGAGCAACGACACGACACCUGACCGUCAACAGCACUUCUCUCAUGCGGCAGUUUUCACUAAUUUCAGGAGUGACAAAAUUACCCCUACAACAGAAGAGAAGAGCCAAGAUGAAGGUAGCUAUUCACAGAGCUGGAGGAAACACAGAUUUUUGAUCGUCCUCCACUCACUCUACCACUUUGUUUUCCUUGCCAGACUUCAUUUAAGGAUAAGAAAGAAGCCUGCUACAAGAGAGACAGCGGAUGGGACCUUCAAAGACAUUUUUAUUAGGAUCUGCUAAUCAUGAGGGGGCAGACGAAAGAACCUGCAUUUUCCUUCAGCUUAAUAUCAGAGGUCACCACAGCGUAAGGAACUGGAUAUUACUUUGGCAUAUGUUUUACACAGCGGAUGGCCUUCCAGCUGCAACCCAGCACUGUGAAACACCCAUACACUCUCGUAUUCACAGACACUUCUACACUAUGUUCAAAUUCACCUAUAGCACAAGUGUUUGGACUGUGGUGGAAACCCACACCAAAACAGGGAGAACAUGUAAACUCCACACAGAAAUGCCAGCGGACCCAGUCGGGACUCAUACCAGCAACCUUUUUGCUGUGAGGUGACAGUCUGAGCCACUGUGCUGCCCCAGUGUAGUUGUUAAUAACCUCCAGAUGUUUUAGUUUGAUUUUGUAAUAAUAAUGCACGUUUACAUUUAUUGUAAUAUGUAUGUUUAUAUUUAUCCACAAUGUCAUUUA